rnacentral:rRNA from 1 species
AGCAGUACUACAGGAUUCCCCUAGUAACUGCGAGUGAAGCGGGAAAAGCUCAAAUUUAAAAUCUGGCGGUCUUUGGCUGUCCGAGUUGUAAUCUAGAGAAGUAUUAUCCGCGCUGGACCGUGUACAAGUCUCCUGGAACGGAGCGUCAUAGAGGGUGAGAAUCCCGUCUUUGACACGGACUACCAGGGCUUUGUGAUGUGCUCUCAAAGAGUCGAGUUGUUUGGGAAUGCAGCUCUAAAUGGGUGGUAAAUUCCAUCUAAAGCUAAAUAUUGGCGAGAGACCGAUAGCGAACAAGUACCGUGAGGGAAAGAUGAAAAGAACUUUGGAAAGAGAGUUAAACAGUACGUGAAAUUGUUGAAAGGGAAACGCUUGAAGUCAGUCACGUCUAUUAGAGAUCAGCUUUGCUUUUUUUGCUUGGUGUAUUUUCUGAUAGAUGGGUCAACAUCAAUUUUGACUAGUGGAAAAAGGUUAGGGGAAUGUGGCAUCUUCGGAUGUGUUAUAGCCUCUGGCUGCAUACAUUAGUUUGGGAUUGAGGAACUCAGCACGCCGCAAGGCCGGGUCUUUUGACCACGUUCGUGCUUAGGAUGUUGGCAUAAUGGCUUUAAUCGACCCGUCUUGAA